rnacentral:rRNA from 1 species
AACGAACGCUGGCGGCAGGCCUAACACAUGCAAGUCGAGCGAGGACUUCGGUCCUAGCGGCGGACGGGUGAGUAACGCGUGGGAACGUGCCCCUUGGUACGGAAUAGCCCCGGGAAACUGGGAGUAAUACCGUAUGAGCUCUACGGAGGAAAGAUUUAUCGCUAAGGGAUCGGCCCGCGUUGGAUUAGGUAGUUGGUGGGGUAAUGGCCUACCAAGCCGACGAUCCAUAGCUGGUUUGAGAGGAUGAUCAGCCACACUGGGACUGAAACACGGCCCAGGCUCCUACGGGAGUCAGCAGUGGUGAAGCUUAGACAAUGCGCGCAAGCUUGAUCUAGCCAUGCCGCGUGAGCGAUGAAGGCCUAAGGGUUGUAAAGCUCUUUCAGCUGGGAAGAUAAUGACUGUACCAGCAGAAGAAACCCCGACUAACUCCGUGCCAGCAGCCGCAGUAA